rnacentral:rRNA from 1 species
GACGAACGCUGGCGGCGUGCUUAACACAUGCAAGUCGAACGGUGAAGCGCCUUCCUUUUUGGUGGGUGUGGAUGAGUGGCGAACGGGUGAGUAACACGUGAGUAACCUGCCCCCUUCUUCUGGAUAACCGCAUGAAAGUGUGGCUAAUACGGGAUAUUCUGGGUCUGUCGCAUGAUGGGUCUGGGAAAGAUAUUGUUUCGGUGGGGGAUGGGCUCGCGGCCUAUCAGCUUGUUGGUGGGGUGAUGGCCUACCAAGGCGGUGACGGGUAGCCGGCCUGAGAGGGUGGACGGUCACACUGGGACUGAGACACGGCCCAGACUCCUACGGGAGGCAGCAGUGGGGAAUAUUGCACAAUGGGCGCAAGCCUGAUGCAGCGACGCCGCGUGAGGGAUGUAGGCCUUCGGGUUGUGAACCUCUUUCGCCAGUGAAGCAGGCCUGCCUCGUUUGUGGGUGGGUUGACGGUAGCUGGAGAAGAAGCGCCGGCUAACUACGUG